CGAACUUGAAUUCUGUGCGGCUGAUUGCAGAGCUGCGGCGCAGUCUUGACUCCCUAAGGCCCCGGAUCGGCGACCCCCGGUGGACAGCGAUCGACCGUACCCGAGGCGAGGUUUCUCACGGACGCCACCGGUUGCAGAAGCUGGAAGUGAAAUAAAGGCGCGCGCUUGCUCCUGAGCUCCUUUCCUACUGAGAUAAGAGGAAGGCAGAGCACCCCAGCACGCCUGCAGAUUAGGCU